CACCGCGGUCAUACGAGUGAGCCCAAGCAUAUGAUUAACGGCGUAAAGAGUGGCUAGGGGCCCCUAAAAACUAAAGAUAAGCGUCACCUUGGCCGUUAUACGUAUCCGAUGACCGAAAACCCUUCUACGAAAGUAACUUUAACCCAACCCGAACCCACGAAAGCUAUGAAA
rnacentral:rRNA from 1 species